CGGGACACGUGGUAUCCUGUCUGAAUAUGGGGGGACCAUCCUCCAAGGCUAAAUACUCCUGACUGACCGAUAGUGAACCAGUACCGUGAGGGAAAGGCGAAAAGAACCCCGGCGAGGGGAGUGAAAAAGAACCUGAAACCGUGUACGUACAAGCAGUGGGAGCACAGAGCAAUCUGUGUGACUGCGUACCUUUUGUAUAAUGGGUCAGCGACUUAUAUUCUGUAGCAAGGUUAACCGAAUAGGGGAGCCGAAGGGAAACCGAGUCUUAACUGGGCGUUAAGUUGCAGGGUAUAGACCCGAAACCCGGUGAUCUAGCCAUGGGCAGGUUGAAGGUUGGGUAACACUAACUGGAGGACCGAACCGACUAAUGUUGAAAAAUUAGCGGAUGACUUGUGGCUGGGGGUGAAAGGCCAAUCAAACCGGGAGAUAGCUGGUUCUCCCCGAAAGCUAUUUAGGUAGCGCCUCGUGAAUUCAUCUCCGGGGGUAGAGCACUGUUUCGGCAAGGGGGUCAUCCCGACUUACCAACCCGAUGCAAACUGCGAAUACCGGAGAAUGUUAUCACGGGAGACACACGGCGGGUGCUAACGUCCGUCGUGAAGAGGGAAACAACCCAGACCGCCAGCUAAGGUCCCAAAGUCAUGGUUAAGUGGGAAACGAUGUGGGAAGGCCCAGACAGCCAGGAUGUUGGCUUAGAAGCAGCCAUCAUUUAAAGAAAGCGUAAUAGCUCACUGGUCGAGUCGGCCUGCGCGGAAGAUGUAACGGGGCUAAACCAUGCACCGAAGCUGCGGCAGCGACGCUGAUGCGUUGUUGGGUAGGGGAGCGUUCUGUAAGCCUGUGAAGGUGUGCUGUGAGGCAUGCUGGAGGUAUCAGAAGUGCGAAUGCUGACAUAAGUAACGAUAAAGCGGGUGAAAAGCCCGCUCGCCGGAAGACCAAGGGUUCCUGUCCAACGUUAAUCGGGGCAGGGUGAGUCGACCCCUAAGGCGAGGCCGAAAGGCGUAGUCGAUGGGAAACAGGUUAAUAUUCCUGUACUUGGUGUUACUGCGAAGGGGGGACGGAGAAGGCUAUGUUGGCCGGGCGACGGUUGUCCCGGUUUAAGCGUGUAGGCUGGUUUUCCAGGCAAAUCCGGAAAAUCAAGGCUGAGGCGUGAUGACGAGGCACUACGGUGCUGAAGCAACAAAUGCCCUGCUUCCAGGAAAAGCCUCUAAGCAUCAGGUAACAUCAAAUCGUACCCCAAACCGACACAGGUGGUCAGGUAGAGAAUACCAAGGCGCUUGAGAGAACUCGGGUGAAGGAACUAGGCAAAAUGGUGCCGUAACUUCGGGAGAAGGCACGCUGAUAUGUAGGUGAAGUCCCUCGCGGAUGGAGCUGAAAUCAGUCGAAGAUACCAGCUGGCUGCAACUGUUUAUUAAAAACACAGCACUGUGCAAACACGAAAGUGGACGUAUACGGUGUGACGCCUGCCCGGUGCCGGAAGGUUAAUUGAUGGGGUCAGCGCAAGCGAAGCUCUUGAUCGAAGCCCCGGUAAACGGCGGCCGUAACUAUAACGGUCCUAAGGUAGCGAAAUUCCUUGUCGGGUAAGUUCCGACCUGCACGAAUGGCGUAAUGAUGGCCAGGCUGUCUCCACCCGAGACUCAGUGAAAUUGAACUCGCUGUGAAGAUGCAGUGUACCCGCGGCAAGACGGAAAGACCCCGUGAACCUUUACUAUAGCUUGACACUGAACAUUGAGCCUUGAUGUGUAGGAUAGGUGGGAGGCUUUGAAGUGUG
rnacentral:rRNA from 1 species